rnacentral:rRNA from 1 species
CACGUAGGGCGCAAGCGUUGUCCGGAAUUAUUGGGCGUAAAGAGCUCGUAGGCGGUCUGUUGCGUCUGCUGUGAAAACCCGGGGCUUAACCCCUGGCUUGCAGUGGAUACGGACAGACUAGAGGUAGGUAGGGGAGAAUGGAAUUCCCGGUGUAGCGGUGAAAUGCGCAGAUAUCGGGAGGAACACCGGUGGCGAAGGCGGGUCUCUGGGCCGAUACUGGACGCUGAGGAGCGAAAGCAUGGGUAGCGAACAGG